GCGGGUGUAGUUCAACGGUAGAACAUCAGCUUCCAACCCUGAAGAUGUGGGUUCAAUUCCUACCACCCGUGCCA
rnacentral:tRNA from 1 species